rnacentral:tRNA from 2 species
GGUGGGGUAGCGAAGUGGCUAAACGCAUCAGACUGUAAAUCUGACCUCUAACGAGUUCGAUGGUUCGAAUCCAUCCCCCACCACCA